GCCUGGCUGGCUGAGUCGGUUGAGCCCCCGACUUCGGCUCAGGUCAUGACCUCACAGUUCGUGGGUUCGAGUCCCGCGUCGGGCU
rnacentral:tRNA from 1 species